GGUCUUGACUCCAUCCCACUUUAAAUACCCGCACAUGCCGCAUGUCCCCAGGCCGGUGCGGUGCUGCUGCUGCGGCUGCUGGCGUGGAAGCGUGUGGGGCUGUGCUGCGCCUCGUCGGAGGCCCUCAAGUACGUGUUCGUGCUGGGGGCCCGGGGCGCGGGCCGCACCACCGCCUUCGCAGCGCUGGCACACCUGCCGGUGGAUUACCAGGUGGGGCCUCUACGGUGUGGGAGGUCUUAAGGGGUGGAGGUCUAGGGGCGAGCUGCCCGCUAGAGAGGGCGGUGCGGGUUGGGA
rnacentral:lncRNA from 1 species